UACGUAGGGUGCAAGCGUUAAUCGGAAUUACUGGGCGUAAAGCGUGCGCAGGCGGCUUUGCAAGACAGAUGUGAAAUCCCCGGGCUCAACCUGGGAACUGCAUUUGUGACUGCAUGGCUAGAGUACGGUAGAGGGGGAUGGAAUUCCGCGUGUAGCAGUGAAAUGCGUAGAUAUCAGGAGGAACACCGAUGGCGAAGGCAGGUCUCUGGGCUGACACUGACGCUCAUGCACGAAAGCGUGGGGAGCAAACAGG
rnacentral:rRNA from 1 species